rnacentral:rRNA from 1 species
AACGCUGGCGGCGUGCCUAAUACAUGCAAGUCGAGCGAGCUGAAUUCAAAGAUUCCUUCGGGAUGAUUUGUUGGACGCUAGCGGCGGAUGGGUGAGUAACACGUGGGCAAUCUGCCCUAAAGACUGGGAUACCACUUGGAAACAGGUGCUAAUACCGGAUAACAACAUGAAUCGCAUGAUUCAAGUUUGAAAGGCGGCGCAAGCUGUCACUUUAGGAUGAGCCCGCGGCGCAUUAGCUAGUUGGUGGGGUAAAGGCCUACCAAGGCAAUGAUGCGUAGCCGAGUUGAGAGACUGAUCGGCCACAUUGGGACUGAGACACGGCCCAAACUCCUACGGGAGGCAGCAGUAGGGAAUCUUCCACAAUGGACGCAAGUCUGAUGGAGCAACGCCGCGUGAGUGAAGAAGGUUUUCGGAUCGUAAAGCUCUGUUGUUGGUGAAGAAGGAUAGUGGCAGCAACUGGCCAUUAUUUGACGGUAAUCAACCAGAAAGUCACGGCUAACUACGUGCCAGCAGCCGCGGUAAUACGUAGGUGGCAAGCGUUGUCCGGAUUUAUUGGGCGUAAAGCGAGCGCAGGCGGAAAGAUAAGUCUGAAGUGAAAGCCCCCGGCUUAACCGGGGAACUGCUUCGGAAACUGUCCUUCUUGAGUGCAGAAGAGGAGAGUGGAACUCCAUGUGUAGCGGUGAAAUGCGUAGA